GGAACCAUUCCCCGAACGUUUUGGACAGAGCACAGAAUUGCUUCUUAAGUCAGCCCAGCGCGGUUGCAAUAGACAGCAAAAAGGUAAACGUUUGCCUGAAAUCCGCACGCCAGCUCCACCACCCCGCCCGAUGGCAAUGGAUAGACUGUAGUUAGCAGCCAAGAGAAAGAGGCCUGACAUUGGGAGCUCAACUCCAGAGACCUGCCACUUAGAGGCUCCAUUAUGAAAUCAAGAAGACAUGGAAUUCUACCUCUGGAAGGAGAUUUGAGCAUUGAUCCAACUUCUUGCUGAACUGGGGGCUCUGGAGAUGGACAGAUGACUGUAGAUGAAGACUGAGAAAUUUCAGGAGUUGCAUAU